rnacentral:rRNA from 1 species
AAGGUGCUGCAGUGGUUGUCGUCAGCUCGUCGCCGUGAGGUGGUCGGGUUAAGUCCCAUAACGAGCGCCAACCCUUACCGUUAGUUACCAUCAGGUUAAGCGUGGGGACUCUAGGCGGGACUGCCACCGUAAGGUGAGAGGAAGGUGGGGAUGACGUCAAAUCAGCACGGCCCUUAUGUCCAGGGCUACACACGUGUUACAAUGGCCGGUACAAAGGGCAGCUACUUCGCGAGAAGAUGCUAAUCUCGAAAGCCGGUCUCAGUUCGGAUCGAAGUCUGCAACCCGACUUCGUGAAGCUGGAUUCGCUAGUAAUCGCGCAUCAGCCAUGGCGCGGUGAAUACGUUCCCGGGCCUU